CCCGGCGACGAACAAACAACCUGAGCGGUACUGCGCGCGGAUCGCAGUUAGGAAUCUCCAUAACGACGCAUGGAGGACGACAAGAUGAAUGAUGAGCGGUAUAGUGGAAACAACACAGAGAAGGUGAACUUUCCUGUGAGUUAGGAGUGAGUAUACAUCUGCAGCUGGACAGGUGUUCACACCGUGGGAACGAAGGUUCAGAAAUGCAGCUUCAACGGAGGACAUCUGGGAAGAAUACAGAGCAGCGAGGACCGUCCUCUCUCAUCUGAAGCUCUGAGGGCCAUGCCAUGAUCUCUCCUCUGCCCGCUGUGGCGUUGAAAUGAAACCCGCCCGCUCCAAGCUGGCACUAACACAUGUCCAUCGAGGCUGCGUGUUUUCAGGUCAGGUCUGUUGAUGCAUUGAUUGCCCGAGUGUUGUCUCCAGUCAAAUUCCCAGGGCGGCACAAAGACCAUCUUCGAUUCUGCCUCGGGUUGAUGAAAACCUACUCCCACUGCACAUCAAAUAAAAGUGGAGG